AAUCUUGAUGAUGCUGCAG
rnacentral:siRNA from 1 species